ensembl:snoRNA
GUAGGCAGCCUUUGAUGAAGCCUGUGUUGGUAAGGACACCUGAGGGUGAAGUGUGGCAGAGUUAAAGGAACCAAC